UCGGGAAUUUUGGGCAAUGGGCGCAAGCCUGAUCCAGCCAUGCCGCGUGGAUGAUGAAGGCCUUAGGGUUGUAAAGUCCUUUCGGCGGGGAAGAUAGUGACGGUACCCGCAGAAGAAGCCCCGGCUAACUUCGUGCCAGCAGCCGCGGUAAUACGAAGGGGGCUAGCGUUGCUCGGAAUCACUGGGCGUAAAGCGCACGUAGGCGGCUUUUUAAGUCAGGGGUGAAAUCCUGGAGCUCAACUCCAGAACUGCCUUUGAUACUGAGAAGCUUGAGUCCGGGAGAGGUGAGUGGAACUGCGAGUGUAGAGGUGAAAUUCGUAGAUAUUCGCAAGAACACCAGUGGCGAAGGCGGCUCACUGGCCCCGGUACUGACGCUGAGGUGCGAAAGCGUGGGGAGCAAACAGGAUUAGAUACCCUAGUAGUCCCUGAGCGGGCUGGCAAGGCGCAU
rnacentral:rRNA from 1 species